GCGGCGGAGAUGGGCGCAGAGUCCCUCCGCACCCUGCGGGGAUUCCCUCCCGCAACACCGCGAUCGCCUACACGGCUCACAAAGCCGUAAAAGGCAGUUUAGAUACCGCUCAACAUCUGGCAUUAAAACACGAGAGGAAGAAAAAAAAAAGAAAAAAAACAGAAAAAAAAAAAAAAAAAAAAAAAAAAAGCCUUCACCACGGGACUUUGUUUUUACGACCGAGUGCGCGCUGUCAGGUUGGGUCGCUCCCGAGUUAACUCCUUCCCGCAGCGCGGAGCGCCGCGCCUUACAGCCUGGCGCAUUCCCCUCACCCCUCCGUAACACACAGCCCCGGCUCCCCCGGGCGUUCCGAGGCGCUUCGGUGCGUUCUGUCCCCGGCCCCAAGGCAGCUCACUUCCUCCCCCCCCCCCCGCCAACUCCGGGCUCCGGGGUGCGGGCAGAGUACGGAGCCCUCCGCCGAAGCCACAGAGAGACCGAGAGCCGCGGAGCGCUGCGGGAUCGCCGCGGGAGAGCCCCGCACGCUUCGCCAGGAGAGCCCCGCACCGAGAGGGGGGGGGCCGCCGCCCGGGCAGUGCACAAUUUCACCAGAAGUAUGGCAUCCUAUUCUGAAUCUACAAUACAACCAACCUGCUUAUUUCCCAGUCCUGCAGAGGAAGAAUUGGAAGAUUUGUACAAGUAAAUGAGAGGUUCUACAACUUUCCAGUGAGACAGAUGGCAUUUGCCAAUGUUACUAAAAUGCCUUGAGUCAGCAAACUGUAAAAAGCUGCCUUUGCAUAAAUAGAAAACAGUACAGAAAUUAAUGUUAA